UACGGAGGAUGCAAGCGUUAUCCGGAUUUAUUGGGUUUAAAGGGUGCGUAGGCGGAUAAAUAAGUCAGUGGUGAAAGCCUGCAGCUUAACUGUAGAAUUGCCAUUGAUACUGUUUGUCUUGAGUACAGUUGAGGUGGGCGGAAUAUGGCAUGUAGCGGUGAAAAUGCUUAGAUAUGCCAUAGAACACCGAUUGCGAAGGCAGCUCACUAAAACUGUCACUGACGCUGAGGCACGAAAGCGUGGGUAGCAAACAGG
rnacentral:rRNA from 1 species